UUAUUUCUAAUAGACCCUGCUACAGACUGACUGAGCUUGAGUAAAAUAUCAUAUAAUUACACAAAGAACAGAUAUUAGUUCCUUCACAAUGGUCCUAUUCUAAACUUGCAAUUACUGUGAUGCAAAAAUUAAAAAACCCACAUAAUUUGAUAAUAAAUGUAUUCACAGAGUGUUUUUUUCUUCCAUUGAAUACUUCGAUUAAACCAAGACUGAAAAUAAUUGUCAGUAUAUUUGACCAGUGUUAAAAUUAACAGACGGUUAUUGUACCAAAAGAGAGUAUUUCAAGCAAAUAAUUCCACUUAAAAUAUUGAAAAAAACACAUUUUCCAGUUUAUACUGUUGGAGGUUACGGUGUCAUGUUUGAUUAAUGAGCUGUUUUAUUGGUGAUGCAACUAAAGUGUAAUGUCAUAAGACCCAUGUGUUGUAGAUUAGAGAGGUAUUAAACUUACCUUGGCACAAAGUGAAAAAUCUGAAAUAUCCCUCUGGUAAAAUAUAUCAUUCUAGAGGAAAAGACAUGUUGGCGUAGCUUGUAUUUAUGCUGUUGAUAAAUUACAUGUUAUGUUUACUUAGUUUAAGUAUCCAAUCAAAUUCUAUUAUUUUUCAUACUUUUGCUUCAGCAACUGUGUGUGAAACCAUACUGUCCAUUACCUGCUAGUUAUAAACAAAGACAUGAAGAUGACAGUGUGUAAUUUUUCUUAAAAUAAUCUUGGCGUUUAUUCUCAUUUAUCUAGAGUGGUGCAAACCGCAACAGAAUGAGGAAGGCAUGUUCAUGCAGGAUGAUGUGAGAAGGAUCCUCAGCAAAGCCCCAGGCCACACAGUGAAAAUUCACCCAAUUUCAAAAUUGCGUGGGAAACCUGAACCACAGUGCCAAAAAUGGCUACUUCUUCUGGUGAGAAAAUUCCAAAUGGGAACUACCCCUCAGAGGAACACAACUACCUCCUCUUCAGAUUUCAUCUUUUCCUGACAGUUAAAUACCCUCCUGUGUGCUUCGGUAGCCUUCACAAGAUCCUCUGGUCCACCUAUAAAAGAAUUCAGCCUUCAAAAUGACCCGCCUUCCAGGAGACCGACCUCUGAAGCGACUCUUAAGGUAACCAAUGAAGAGACUGGAGAAAACUGGUUGGAAAAUAAAUGCAGAAGCUCUCCACUCUCUAUAAAACUGCAGCAGCAUUAAAGAGACAGCUGAAUAGAGUGAGUGACCUGCCUAAGAGCCCCUUUGUUGAGCAAAGAGCUACGCUUACCUUUAUGGCACUUCACAAGAUACUGAUAAAAUGAGUUAAAGAAGUAAAUGCUGCUGGUGAAAGU